CCAUCACUGCCCUGUCCCUCUCAGGGUCCUGGGGACCAUCGGCCCUGCAUUCCCUGGGCUCAGGGAGAAUCAAGAUUCUUCCUAAUCUGGAGCAAAAAGAGUAGACGGUAGGGCCCAGCUGUCCCUGCCUGCACCCAGUGGAGGUGCAAAGCUGUCCCUAAGUGGGUCUGUCCUAGCAGUGGGGCGUGCAUUGUGGGUUAUUUCCCAGAGCAACGGUGGCCUUGUGCUUAUCCAACCAUGUUCUUUUGAAACUUGACUGCAGCGAGCCGGGUUAUCCAUAUACCAGGUUGCUAGGUCAGGGAGGCCGCUACUGGGGGGCAGGGAACGCGAAGCACGCCACUGUGCCCCAGAGCACCAGUGCUCUCAAUGCCGCAGCUGACCGCUGGGAAAGGCUUCGCACAGGGCCAUGCGGGAAGGAGAUGACAGCCACAGUCCCCUGAGAUGAAGACCUGAAUGCAGAAGCUGCCGCGAAGGAGUCCCCAGAGCUUGCUGUGCGCGGUGCAGGAGGAGGAGUGUGCUGGGGGUGAGUGAGGUCUAUGGGGGUAAGCCCCCCCGCCUCCCCGUAGACCUCCUGGAAUGCCUGGAACAGCUCAGCAACCUGGGCACAGGUGGCUUGAGACAACCUAGCCAUUCGGGCCUGCUGCCAGAGUGAACGCCACAGGGAGGCCUGCCGGGUCUGGGGAGCAUGAGCUGGUCAGGCCCCCAGUAGACCCCUUGCAGGCUGAUCUCCAUCUCCAUGCAGAGUCUGUAUCCUAGAAAUCCAACCUGAGAUCCUGCGGCACCGAGAAAGGGAAGCUGUUUCAAGAGAUAGGAAUUGUCAGAAAAAGCCGGAGAAGGUGGUGUUAAAGGAAAACAUUGAGAAUGGGGAGUGAAGACGAGGGUUUUUCGUAGCAGAAGAUGGAUCUUCGAAAGCCAGGAGGCAGAGGAGAGCAACGCUGUCGGUGAGAUAAAGACUCUUGACAGAGCCAUUCCUGGGAAAAACAGCUCCGUUCUUGGAGACAGGAAACAAUGCCCUCAGCAUACAGAUCAGAGACAGCUUGUCUGACUUGGCCCGCUUCCCCAUCUUUAAAAUGGGGAGGUCUUCCUGCCUCGGCUUACCAAAGCGCUGGGAUUACACAUGAGCCAUGUGCCCAGGAGAGUCGCUUGAGCCCAGGAGUUCGACACCAGGCGGGGAAACACAGGGAGACCUCGUCUUUACCAAAACCAAAUAUAUACAUAAAAUAAAAUAAAGUAAAAUACAAUAAAAUACAAUAAAAAAUGGGGAGAAACUCCUCCUAGGAUUCUUUUUACAGUCUUAGAGAAUGGAAACUGGCCUUGGUUUCUUCAUCCAUGUGAAAAAUAGAGCUAAAAAGCCUCUCGUCAGCACCUUUCUCUCUUCUAGCAGGACUGAGGAAUGACCAGAGGUUAAAUGUUGAUGAGCUGAAUUAGCUUCAGUUCAAUCUGCAUUUGACUAGGAACUUGAUGACUGAGGCUGCUCAUUUUUGCAACAAUACCUGGGGUAGAGAAAUGACUGUAGAAUUGAACCUCACAAUCUCAGGUGUAAUUCCCAUGAGAAAGAUAUUACACCAGAAAUAGGAGGUUUCCAGCUGUUCUCAGGCAUGCUUUCAAUGACACUAAGAACAUCAGUUGCACUAAUUGGUGCUUGAAAUAAUUAUUGAUCUUCAUCAGGAGUGUCAAAAGCAUUGCUCAAAUGUCCAACUGCUUGUCAUGCUCUCUUGGCAUUCUACGCGAAGGACUUCACAGACUGUUUCUUUCCCAGGAGAGCAUUAGCUAAGGCAAAACAUAGAAAAACACAUCUAGGAUACAGAUAACAUAAGUACAGACAGCUGAGCAAAUAUAUAAAUAACACCCGAAAUGACACUUAAAUAUUUACAGCUGGAGAUUUCUGCUACGUGCAGCACAUACUGCUAAUCCUCUCUCAUCUCCAGGAAGUUUUCAAAAACCUGCUUCUGUAACUAGUGGACAGGUCUUCUGGAUCCAAGGUCACCUGCUGGGGAGAAAGAGAAGCCUUUGGAUAAACAUCACAAGUUUUCCUGGAACAUGGAUUUUAUUUAAGAUUUUUUGGAAAGAAGGGAAUAAGGUUUUUACCUUUGUAAUGUUUUUACAAAUAUUUUCAAAAGUGUAACAUGUAUAUGUGCUCAUUUUAGAAAAUUUGAUCAGUAUAAAAUAUUAAAGAAGAAAGUAAAAGCUCAUUUGGAAUCUUAUCUGUUGGAAGGAAUCACUGUCUUGCUAUAUGUUGGUGAAUAUCCUUUUGAUGAUGUGUAUGUGUGUCAGUGUGUGUUUGUAACUUGAAUUUUUAAAGUUUGAGAAUAUAUUCUAGUCGUCUU
rnacentral:lncRNA from 1 species